UACGAAGGGAGCAAGCGUUGUUCGGAUUUACUGGGCGUAAAGGGCGCGUAGGCGGUUUAUUAAGUUGGAAGUGAAAGCCCCAGGCUCAACUUGGGAAUUGCUUUCAAGACUGGUAGACUUGAGUAUGGAAGAGGUUGGUGGAACUCCGAGUGUAGAGGUGAAAUUCGUAGAUAUUCGGAAGAACAUCCGUGGCGAAGGCGGCCAACUGGUCCAUAACUGACGCUGAGGCGCGAAAGCGUGGGGAGCAAACAGG
rnacentral:rRNA from 1 species